GCACUUUGGGAUAAGCCUGGGAAACUGGGUCUAAUACCGAAUAUGACCACGAGAUGCAUGUCUCGUGGUGGAAAGCUUUUGCGGUGUGGGAUGGGCCCGCGGCCUAUCAGCUUGUUGGUGGUGUGACGGCCUACCAAGGCGACGACGGGUAGCCGGCCUGAGAGGGUGUCCGGCCACACUGGGACUGAGAUACGGCCCAGACUCCUACGGGAGGCAGCAGUGGGGAAUAUUGCACAAUGGGCGCAAGCCUGAUGCAGCGACGCCGCGUGGGGGAUGACGGCCUUCGGGUUGUAAACCUCUUUCACCAUCGACGAAGGUCCGGGUUUUCUCGGAUUGACGGUAGGUGGAGAGGAAGCACCGGCCAACUACGUGCCAGCAGCCGCGGUAAUACGUAGGGUGCGAGCGUUGUCCGGAAUUACUGGGCGUAAAGAGCUCGUAGGUGGUUUGUCGCGUUGUUCGUGAAAUCUCACGGCUUAACUGUGAGCGUGCGGGCGAUACGGGCAGACUAGAGUACUGCAGGGGAGACUGGAAUUCCUGGUGUAGCGGUGGAAUGCGCAGAUAUCAGGAGGAACACCGGUGGCGAAGGCGGGUCUCUGGGCAGUAACUGACACUGAGGAGCGAAAGCGUGGGGAGCGAACAGGAUUAGAUACCCUGGUAGUCCACGCCGUAAACGGUGGGUACUAGGUGUGGGUUUCCUU
rnacentral:rRNA from 1 species